CCCUUAGAUGUUCUGGGCUGCACGCGCGCUACAAUGACAAUGUCAGCGAGUAUUUAAAAAUUAGCCUUCACCUUUUUGGGGGGGGGCUAAAAGCUGAUGCGAAAGCAUUGGCAAAUCUUGUGAAACGUUGUCGUAAUAUGGAUUGCUGAUUGCAAUUAUUCGGCAUGAAACAGGAAUACCUAGUAGGUGUGGUUCAUCAGACUGCGCCGAUUACGUCCCUGCCCUUUGUACACACCGCCCGUCGCUCCUACCGAUUGAAACAUACGGUGAAAAUCUCGGAGAGAGAAAGUUCUUGGUGCAAAGUUCGCUUGGCAUCACCUUUUUUUCAAAGUUAUUUAAAUCUCAUGUUUUAGAGGAAGGAGAAGUCGUAACA
rnacentral:rRNA from 1 species